rnacentral:lncRNA from 10 species
GCUUGACCACACCUCCAUACCACCCCAGAGUGCUGGCUGGGGGUUUAGUCAGCAGGGGCUACAGAAGCCACGUUGGUGACUGGGUGAAUGGGGGUGGUUGGAAAGGCUGAUGGGAUCUUGAAGUGCCUGGCUGGACUUGGGAGUUGGAAGCAGCUAUAAAUGGGGACAUUUGCUUGGCUCACUGGCUAAUGAGUGAAGGAUCGCCAAGAGAAAUAACAUUUCAGCGGAAUUUCCUUAAUGAUUGGCACAGUUCAUUAAGAGAAGAAACAAAACUGGAGAUACCCUUGGGGAGAGGCUGGGGGAUGGGAGGGUCAGAUCAUGGAGGUGGGAGUCCUGGCUCAAAGGAAUGUGGCUUUCACACAAUUAGGUGUUUGAAGGAAGACAGAGCUUGGACACAGCUGAAUAAUUUUGGCUAAUUGAGAUUUGCAUGGGUCAAGGACCAGAGGUCUUGCUGCUGUUAAAGCAGGACGACAUCCGUUAUGGGAUCCCUGGAUGAACAGUGGCCCAUGUGUGCCUCAGGACAAUGGAAAGUGGCGUCUCCCUGACAAAGAACAGCUUUCACGGGAGACACCCUUCCACCUUUAUCCCAGCUGGGGACUCUCCGUGGUGGAUCCGAUGGCCUCAAACUUACCCAAGUGGACUCACAUCUAAUAAGUCUCCACUGCUGUCCUUCUCUAGGAGUGAGAACUAAUGAUGCCUCCAUCCCCUGCUGUCGUGUGUUCGUCAAGGGUACUAUCUUUGUAAGAUGGGCUUCUGAGAGUCAGAGAAGCUCCCAUGAGGGCAUUCACCAUUCCAUGUUUUGGUUGUAAGAACGGCUGACCACUGCUUUAAAUGUUUUACUACAGAGAGUAUGGAUUUUUGUCUACCAGUACUGGUGUGCAAUUCAUUCAUAGUCAUUAGAGAUGCAUUGCUAUAAAGAAAUAUCUGAGACUGGAGGCCGGACGCG